rnacentral:rRNA from 1 species
AGCUGAGGCCGACAGGCGUAGGCGAUGGAUAACAGGUUGAUAUUCCUGUACCACCUAUAAUCGUUUUAAUCGAUGGGGGGACGCAGUAGGAUAGGCGAAGCGUGCGAUUGGAUUGCACGUCUAAGCAGUAAGGCUGAGUAUUAGGCAAAUCCGGUACUCGUUAAGGCUGAGCUGUGAUGGGGAGAAGACAUUGUGUCUUCGAGUCGUUGAUUUCACACUGCCGAGAAAAGCCUCUAGAUAGAAAAUAGGUGCCCGUACCGCAAACCGACACAGGUAGUCAAGAUGAGAAUUCUAAGGUGAGCGAGCGAACUCUCGUUAAGGAACUCGGCAAAAUGACCCCGUAACUUCGGGAGAAGGGGUGCUCUUUAGGGUUAACGCCCAGAAGAGCCGCAGUGAAUAGGCCCAAGCGACUGUUUAUCAAAAACACAGGUCUCUGCUAAACCGUAAGGUGAUGUAUAGGGGCUGACGCCUGCCCGGUGCUGGAAGGUUAAGAGGAGUGGUUAGCUUCUGCGAAGCUACGAAUCGAAGCCCCAGUAAACGGCGGCCGUAACUAUAACGGUCCUAAGGUAGCGAAAUUCCUUGUCGGGUAAGUUCCGACCCGCACGAAAGGCGUAACGAUUUGGGCACUGUCUCAACGAGAGACUCGGUGAAAUCAUAGUACCUGUGAAGAUGCAGGUUACCCGCGACAGGACGGAAAGACCCCGUGGAGCUUUACUGUAGCCUGAUAUUGAAAUUCGGCACAGCUUGUACAGGAUAGGUAGGAGCCUUUGAAACGUGAGCGCUAGCUUACGUGGAGGCGCUGGUGGGAUACUACCCUAGCUGUGUUGGCUUUCUAACCCGCACCACUUAUCGUGGUGGGAGACAGUGUCAGGCGGGCAGUUUGACUGGGGCGGUCGCCUCCUAAAAGG